rnacentral:tRNA from 1 species
AGAGAGUUAGUCCAACAUUAAGACCUCUGAUUUCGGCUCAGAAGAUUGUGGUUAAACCCCAUGACUCCCUU